rnacentral:rRNA from 1 species
AUUGAACGCUAGCGGGAUGCCUUACACAUGCAAGUCGAACGGAGUGGCGAACGGGUGAGUAAUGUAUCGGAACGUGCCCAGUAGCGGGGGAUAACUACGCGAAAGCGUAGCUAAUACCUCAUACUCUUGGACCGGCCGAUAUGGGAUUAGCUAGUUGGUGGGGUAAGGGCUCACCAAGGCGACGAUCCGUAGCUGGUUUGAGAGGAUGACCAGCCACACUGGGACUGAGACACGGCCCAGACUCCUACGGGAGGCAGCAGUGGGGAAUAUUGGACAAUGGGGGAAACCCUGAUCCAGCCAUCCCGCGUGUGUGAUGAAGGCCUUCGGGUUGUAAAGCACUUUUGGCAGGAAGGCGGUACCGGCAGAAGAAGCACCGGCUAACUACGUGCCAGCAGCCGCGGUAAUUC